CAUCGAUGAAGAACGUAGCGAACUGCGAUACUUGGUGUGAAUUGCAAAAUCCCGUGAACCAUCGAGUCUUUGAACGCAAGUUGCGCCCGAAGCCUUCGGGUCGAGGGCACGUUUGCCUGGGUGUCA
rnacentral:rRNA from 1 species